GUUUAAUGAUGAGCAUCCAUGCUAAUUUUGAAACAUCAGGGGAUUUGUUUCCCUCUGGAUGUCAAUGUUAAGUACUUUAUUUACUCUGAAAACA